UACAGAGGUCUCAAGCGUUGUUCGGAUUCAUUGGGCGUAAAGGGUGCGUAGGCGGCGCGGUAAGUCGGGUGUGAAAUUUCGAGGCUUAACUUCGAAACUGCAUUCGAUACUGCCGUGCUAGAGGACUGGAGAGGAGACUGGAAUUUACGGUGUAGCGGUGAAAUGCGUAGAUAUCAGGAGGAACACCAAUGGCGAAGGCAGCUCGCUGGGACGGUUACUGACGCUGAGACGCGAAAGCGUGGGGAGCAAACAGG
rnacentral:rRNA from 1 species